rnacentral:rRNA from 1 species
GACAGAGGUGCCGAGCGUUAGGCGGAAUCACUGGGCUUAAAGCGUGUGUAGGCGGCCCGUUAAGUGUCCCGUGAAAUCCCCCGGCUCAACCGGGGAACCGCGGGGCAUACUGGCGGGCUUGGGCCACUCAGGGGCAGACGGAACAGGCGGUGGAGCGGUGAAAUGCGCAGAUAUCAGGAGGAACACCGGUGGCGAAGGCGAGUCUCUGGACAUUUCCUGACGCUGAGGCACGAAAGCCAGGGGAGCAAACGGG